UUUUCUCCAAAUAUGACCCCCAUUUUAAAAAGUCAAGAACCCCUUUUUUGUAUGGAGUCUUUCACUGAUUUCAUAAAACAUUUAGUGACAUGGUUUGAGCCUGAAUGGAUGGGAGAACCAAGUGAAAGGCAUUGUAGAAGAAGCCUUCAAACACAGACUUAACUGAAACCACCCUCUCUUUGCUUUGCCUAUGUUAACCCCUGAAAAGGCCCACCAUUUUCUAUUUUUAAUCAGUGCCUAUAGAUUGUUUGAAGCUCCAUUGGGAAAGGUCAGGUCUGUCUUAAAGGAAUCUGGCUGUCAUAGAUGCCAGGAUAUUUAAGAAUGGAGGCUACAGGGAAGGACCACCAUGCAGAAGAAUGGUCCAGCCAGACAGCCUGACUAUCGAUCGAGAUGCAAAGCAUCACUGGACAGCAUCUGUAUCCUUCCUUCAUUUGUUCACUGAAGCUGAGGAGCAAAUGUCAGCCCCACUCAUGUGAAGGGACAGAGGGCACCACUAUGAUGUCUUGUUCUGAGGAUCUGUGGUGACAGGAUAUGGCCACACAAGGUCUUCAGCCCAUCAGUGUUCUCCUCAGAGUCUCGUGUGUGCAGCAUUUGUGUGGUGGGAGAGUCUGCAGUCUCCCAAAACAGCAUGACUAGCUGGUAACCAAGGGUUCGAACACAAAGUCCAUGGAAAACGUUUCCUCUCUAGGGCAACGCCUGUGACACUAAGCUCCAUCCUCAGUGUCUCUAUGGAGGGUCUGUGAGGACCUGUGAGGACCAGUGGAGAUAGAUGGCUGCUUUAUCCUCUGGCUGGAGACUAAUACUCAGCAGGUUCAUUACUAGGUAUUACUUUUAUCAUGCUCCGUUCUGACGCAGCUUCUCAUUACCAGACGACAUUGAACAUCAGACACAAAACACCACAAAACUCCCCGAGACCUAGGUAUGGGGGCAGGGUGGACAGGUGGCCUAGAGGCUUGACUACCACACUCUUCUCCACUUUCCAGGCAAUUGUGACCAGGAGUGGGAGAACAGCCCUCGCCUCUGCUCCUGUGACUUCCUGCGCUUGAAUGGGACGUAGUCAACCCUGCCUGAACUGAUGAAGGCUCACAUUCCCAGAAACUGCACAGUUUCCCAGGAUUCUACCCCCAUACGGCAUCAGCAACAACAGGGGUCGUGUGUGUGCUCACAGCUCCCGUGGAACUGUGAAUCAUGACACACCCACACCGCUGACACAUAUACCUCUGCUAUGUGCUUCAUUGGCAAGAAUGGCAAAAACACAUGGUUCUCCAGUGAGCACCAUUUGGUCAGAUGCUGCUGUGGCACUGGAGAGAAGGAAGACAGCCACGUGAUGUCACAUCAAACCAGGGCCUGCUCAGACUAACAAGAGGACAUAUGUCAAGGUCUGAAGUCCAGAUUCCAGACCAGAGGCUCUUGGGAAUUCCGGAGAAAAAUAAAUCUUGGUGUUCAAUG